UCCCAAUCCUCAGACCGGAUGUCUUGGUAGGUUGUGAACUUUUCAGGCAUCGGGGUGUCAUCUGCCUCUGAGUCCAAGUCCCACAUCUCAGCUUGCAGCUCCGUGAAAACGGGCAUUUCAGCUGUAUCCUGCGAUCGGUGGUAGUCCAUAUCCCACACUAGGUCCAUCAUCUUCAGGAACGAUGUAUUUAUAUCAAGAAUGCAGCACUUGCCAAAAUCAGAUAAUCCUCUCUGGUCAGCGCGUGUGUUGUUCUGUUUAAAAAAUAACCGUUGCCAUGGCAAUGACGCAAACUUCAUUACGUCUUAAAUUCUAAAACUCAGUCAAAUCAAGGGGUGUUUUUUUCAUCGUGAAAAAAAGUCUAAUCAGUCUGAGUGAAGAACAUUAGACCACUCAUUUUUUCUUGUAAAUAUCAGACACCCGACAGACAAGUAAAUCUGACUUGUGACUCUGGCAUAUUUACUCGAAUUAAUAAAGUACUUGAAGCAAGUUGCAAAAAAUCAUGUAAAAUUUACGCCGUCUUGAAGCGAGGAAUCUGCGCAUGCGUGAAAAGUAAUGCCGCGAUGAUUCAAGGCUUCUCGAUCUCCAUCAGUUCUCGAAGGGUAAGUACUAUUUAAAACCGCAUUAUAUUACGGAUCAUUAGAUUUAAUUCAUUAAAGAAAUUUGUCAUCACUUAAUUCUGUACCUUUGAAAAGUUUAGCGUGUUCUUGAGUUAGCUUUGUAAAACGAGCGCCAUAUAAGCUAACGUUAAUGUUGUAGUCAAAGUUGCAAAUUGUUGAACAAGUUUUUAAGUUUUAGUUUUUUAAGUUUAAGUUUUUGUUGAAUAUUUGUCUCACAUUCCCUCAUUUUAUAUAAAUCGUGCACAAUAUAAAUCAUUCCCCCAGUCUCUAAUUACUUUACUAAAUUGUGCGUUGUUUGUUAAUAGGUCCCUUCUUUACUCAGUCUUGUCCACUUUGUAAAUGACCACAACUCAAGAAACCAAGAAAAGCUGAACUGAACUAUCUGCCACCACAUCGUAACGGGGAAUCCAUUGAGACUUUAGAAAAAGAGCGACAAGCUUUGCUGGUUGAAGUCAGAAAGAAAGACAAAGAGUGUUUGGAGAAAAAAUGUCUAAAACCUUUUCUUACAGGAGUCACGAAGUUGUUAAUCUCAGCCCCCCAAUGAAAGAUUUCCAGGAGAGAUGGCCUGCCUUAUUCUCAGAGGCUCAGGUAAGUUAAGCCAGUUACAUUAUUGUAGAUGUCACGUUUUGAUUGUUUGCUGUUCAUAUAUGGAUACUUUUGUGUGUGGAUUAUUUAACUUAUUACAAAUAAAGGAGGAAUUCUGAAGAAUUACGGCUGUGCUCCCGGAGCAAACCUUCAUGUCGAAACUAGAUGGCUACACGCCGAAACUCUUGGAGCUUUUGAAAGCUAAGGGAGGUGCUGCGGGAGUCAAGAUACAGUCAACACUGUAGUUCAUACUGUGCGUUGACUCCAGUAUGAAACCGGGCCAUACCACUGAGAAUCAACGAGAUGGCGUGAUCCGCAGUCUCACUGAAUAUCUUGGAGAGGGGGGCAGAGAAUCUUUUCAAAAAUGGAUGGCAGUCAAGAAGACUUCACAGAAGAUGUCAUGAUGAUUCUUGUUGAUGGAAACAGAGACGGAGAGCCAGAGGUUUACAUUGUUCUUGAAGGAAGCAAGGUUCUAAGUAAAUGUGCAAAUACUGCUAAAGCUUGUGCUCUCCUGAUGUCUGUGGUCAUGUUUUGAUACUGAGAUUAAGAAGCUGUCAUAUAAAUGCUUGUUAAUUCUUGCAUUGUUAUUUCUUCCUAAUAAAACACUCUUAACUACACAUCUUUGGGGUGGGGUCAGGGGCUUAGUUAACAGGUUUUAUUUGUAAGUCUGUUAGUCAUGUUUUGAUGCCGAGAUUACGAAGCUGUCAUGUCUAUGCAUAGAACUGCUAAUGUUGGAUUUGUAAUGUGUUUAAUAUGUCAUUGAACAUGAAUGCUUAAGCUGUUUAAAAAAAAUAUUCAGGGCUGCAAUAAAAAAGCACCAAAUGUCUGGAAUAUAUAUAUAUAUAUAUAUUAGUGCUGGGCAACGAUUAAAAUAUUUAAUCGUGUGAUUAAUCGCGAUUAAUCGUAUUGUUAUUCGCAAAAUUGAACAGGUAGCAGAUCUAUCUGUCUGUCUGUCUGUCUGUCUAUCUAUCUAUCUAUCUAUCUAUCUAUCUAUCUAUCUAUCUAUCUAUCUAUCUAUCUAUCUAUCUAGCCUUUCUCCCUGUUUGUUUAUCCACCAGUUCUUUUCUUUUCCGGUUCCUGUGACCGCCGCAGCAGUCUUACGGUCAUCCCAGUCCAAUACGGAUAAAGAUGCCACCCCUCCCGACACCCAUGGUUUGUUUGUAUGUGUAUUCAGAGUAGGGCUGCACGAUUACGACAAAAAUCAUAAUUGUUGAUUAUUCUCUUGAAAUUGUAAUUGCGAUUAUUAAUUACGAUUUUCACAAUUUACAUUAAAUGGUGUUUUGAAUAGCUUUAUAUCAUUGUUUGAAGCAACUGCAUGCUAUAUUUUAUAACAUAAAUAUUUUUUAUCUUGGUGACUUUUCUAUCCUAUUUCUUUGAUGGUGGAAUCAUCAGAGUAUCUCAAAGACUUGAUGGUCAAUCACCACACUAGUAUUUAUAGUGCUGAGAAUUCCUUUAUCAAUAGACAGAACAGCCGAAUGAUGGAGUCUGCUCUGGUCCAUUGUUCACCUAAACUAUGUCUGUAUUUUAACUUAAAUACUGCAUUAGUUGAAUAAUAGAAAGUCAUGAUGUUCAGACUGUAAUGUCUUAGUGCUUUAAUUUUUUGUACGUUUUGGGUAUGGAAUAAUAUUCAAAAGGGCCCUAUAUGUCAGGGGUUUUCAGAAUCAGAGACAGUGGACCUCCUUUUUUACACAACAUACACAUUUUACAUUU